UGGGGAAUCUUGGACAAUGGGCGCAAGCCUGAUCCAGCCAUGCCGCGUGAGUGAAGAAGGCCUUCGGGUUGUAAAGCUCUUUUACCAGGGACGAUAAUGACGGUACCUGGAGAAUAAGCCCCGGCAAACUUCGUGCCAGCAGCCGCGGUAAUACGAAGGGGGCUAGCGUUGUUCGGAAUUACUGGGCGUAAAGCGUGCGCAGGCGGUUCUAUAAGACAGAUGUGAAAUCCCCGGGCUCAACCUGGGAAUGGCAUUUGUGACUGUAGAGCUAGAGUACGGUAGAGGGGGAUGGAAUUCCGCGUGUAGCAGUGAAAUGCGUAGAUAUCGGAAGGAACAUCAGUUGCGAAGGCGGCUCUCUGGACUCAAACUGACGCUGAGGCACGAAAGCGUGGGUAGCGAACAGGAUUAGAUACCCCCGUAGUCCCUGAGCGGGCUGGCAAGGCGCAU
rnacentral:rRNA from 1 species